UACGGAGGGGGCUAGCGUUGUUCGGAAUUACUGGGCGUAAAGCGCACGUAGGCGGCUUUGUAAGUCAGGGGUGAAAUCCUGGAGCUCAACUCCAGAACUGCCUUUGAUACUGAGGAUCUUGAGUUCGGGAGAGGUGAGUGGAACUGCGAGUGUAGAGGUGAAAUUCGUAGAUAUUCGCAAGAACACCAGUGGCGAAGGCGGCUCACUGGCCCGAUACUGACGCUGAGGCACGAAAGCGUGGGGAGCAAACAGG
rnacentral:rRNA from 1 species